rnacentral:rRNA from 1 species
UACAGAGGGUGCAAGCGUUAAUCGGAAUCACUGGGCUUAAAGCGUUCGUAGGCGGGCUUGCAGGCGCGUUGUGAAAGCCCCCGGCUCAACUGGGGAGGGUCACGCGAUACUGAUCGACUCGAAGGCAGGAGAGGGUAGUGGAAUUCCCGGUGUAGUGGUGAAAUGCGUAGAUAUCGGGAGGAACACCAGUGGCGAAGGCGACUACCUGGCCUGUUCUUGACGCUGAGGCGCGAAAGCUAGGGGAGCAAACGGG